AAAUAAGAAGCAAUUUGCAUUUAAUUUCGACUUAAAAGAUAGGGUUAUUACCCCUUAUUUA
rnacentral:tRNA from 1 species